CCGGCACGCGGCGACCCGCUC
rnacentral:siRNA from 1 species